rnacentral:rRNA from 1 species
GACGGAGGAUGCAAGUGUUAUCCGGAAUCACUGGGCGUAAAGCGUCUGCAGGUGGUUUUUUAAGUCUGAUGUUAAAACUCGAGGCUCAACCUCGAUCCAGCAUUGGAAACUGAAAGACUUGAGUAUAGUAGGGAUAGAGGGAAUUUCCAGUGGAGCGGUGAAAUGCGUAGAUAUUGGAAAGAACACCGAUGGCGAAAGCACUCUAUUGGGCUAUUACUGACACUCAGAGACGAAAGCUAGGGGAGCGAAUGGGAUUAGAUACCCCAGUAGUCCUAGCCGUAAACGAUGGAUACUCGAUGUUGGACGUUUGCCGCAGUAUCUUAGCUAACGCGUUAAGUAUCCCGCCUGGGGAGUACGCUCGCAAGAGUG